rnacentral:lncRNA from 1 species
GUGAAUUUGACCUUGGCCUAUACAACGGUUUGAACGGUUUGUUCUGGGAAACAAGACGCUUUCUGCACAGGAAUAGUGCAACCAUGCUGAUCGCGUAGAUAUGAUGUACCUAUGAUGCUCCGAGACUGAGCAACACUGAUCUGUAGUCAAUUUGAAGUCAUUUUGACCUUGACCUUUGUGCUAUAUAUGAAUGGUAAAGUAAAUAUGUAUCCAUGGUGAUCACAAGGAUAUAACUAGCUAGGUGAGAUAAUAUCAACAUGAGGGAUGGGUAAACAUAGCUAGGUGAGAUAACAACAUGAGGGAAGGGUUAACAUAGCUAGGUGAGACAACAACAUGAGGGAAGGGUAAACAUAGCUAGGUGAGAUAAAAUCAACAUGAGGGAUAGGUUAACAUAGCGAGGUGAGACAACAACAUGAGGGAAGGGUUAACAUAGCUAGGUGAGACAACAACAUGAGGGAAGGGUUAACAUAGCGAGGUGAGACAACAACAUGAGGGAAGGGUUAACAUAGCGAGGUGAGAUAACAACAUGAGGGUAGGGUUAACAUAGCGAGGUGAGAUAACAACAUGAGGGGAGGGUUAACAUAGCGAGGUGAGAUAACAACAUGAGGGAAGGGUUAACAUAGCGAGGUGAGAUAACAACAUGAGGGAAGGGUUAACAUAGCGAGGUGAGACAACAACAUGAGGGAAGGGUUAACAUAGCUAGGUGAGACAACAACAUGAGGGUAGGGUUAACAUAGCGAGGUGAGACAACAACAUGAGGGAAGGGUUAACAUAGCUAGGUGAGACAACAACAUGAGGGUAGGGUUAACAUAGCGAGGUGAGAUAACAACAUGAGGGAAGGGUUAACAUAGCUAGGUGAGACAACAUGAGGGAAGGAAACGAGGUGAGACAACAACAUGAGGGAAGGGUUAACAUAG